ACUUCACGAGGACCUCUGCUGGUGUCUCCUCUGCUGUCCUGGAGGUCCCAGAGGACAGGAGCUGUGUCCUGUGACCUGCUGACCGCAACGCGUAGCACCUGGAAGGAACACCUAUGCUGCAUGAGUCAGAAGCAAGUAUCAGAAGAUGAUGGAUCUCAUUACUUAGAGAAAAGAAGGCCUCAAACCCAUUGCACAUGGGUAGGGAGGAUGAAAAGAAACACCCACAGAGUUAAGCCACAACACUGGGAAAACUGAUGGAUUUGUGAACAUGGGAGAUGAACUUGACAAAGACUCCAGAUGCACCAGGAGUGGGAUAUGAAUGGGAAGGAUGGCCCUCCAGACAGCUGGCAGAGGACUUCCCCUUUAGGGCAAAACACAUGGUUGAAAUUUACCAGCUAAGAUCCCAAAGGGGAGUGAAGAAGCCGGCUGGGGUUGGAGAGCACCCUCUUCUGAACUGAGGAAAUUGAACAU
rnacentral:lncRNA from 1 species